UGCUUUGUUUCUUUUUUUUAUUUCAAACAGUGAACCUAAGGCUACUUAAUUUUUAUUUUUUGACUGAAUCAUAAUAGGCUAAAGCUAGUUCUCCUGUCCCUAACAGCUAAUCGUUCGGUAAAAGAAAGUCUUGGGGGAAAAGCUUCACGCUUAAAAUAAUAAUUAACGCCAACAAAAAUCUGAACAAAUGGAAAUCAAUUGCCUGCUGAAACUUCCCUAGUAACAGGCCAAUCAAACGGAUCUUAGUCUUUUGAAUAAGAAUUCACAAUAAUUGGUGCAGGAUGAAAUAAGGUCAAAAAUAAUCUGUGGAUGCACUGCUAUAAUUUAAAUUCUUUCAAAAGAUGCCAUCAGCAUUCUACUAUUAUCAAAUACUUCAUCAGGAUGUCAGUGCUGAAAAUGUAAAUCGUACAUCAGACAAGCCUGUUGAUAUUAACUUCCUGUGGAAGUGAUAUUCCUAAUCCAUCGGCAUUCAUCAUAUGUAUCAUAUACCAAAUUUCAUGCGACGAUUUUUUGACCUAAAAAGCAAUUGCAACAGGAUUAUCAAGAGUUAUUUCUUGUGAAAGCUCUAAAGAAUCUUCUACUUUAAUCGGGCUAUGCCGCAGCACGUUUUUAAUCUUCAAUGUGUAUUCCAAGAGCAUAUAUAUAAUCCAAACAGCCUUGCUGCGCUAAAUGUGGCGAAGAUAACUUGUCAAUCUGCAGUUUACCAAUCCUAAACACUAUUAACUUACAGAUCAUCACUUGGACCGAAUAUAUAUAUAAUUAAAUACCCACAAAAAUAUGGUCCAGUGUAUACCAUUACCAUUCUGCAAUUAUAAUUCUUCAUCAGGAUACCAUUGUCAAAUGUGUAUGAAUAAUAAUUCAAAGACAUUUUUAAAUGCUUCAAGAUCUUACUCAUACCAAAAUUUAAGUAACAUUUCCCUUGAUCAUAGAUGAAAACAUGAACAAAGCCACAAAACUGUGGUCCAUUGCCUUCCGUUACUAUUCUGCAUUUGAUGAAAUUGUUCAUUAGGAUACCAGUACCGAAAAUGUGUUCUUCCUCUAACAAUAUUCAAAAAAAUUUUUGAAUGCUUCAUCGACAAGAUCUUCUAAUCCCAAAAUUUAAGCAGCAUUUCUCUAGAUCAUAGAGAAGUAAAAUUCCCCUGAAGAAAUAACAUAAAAAAUACUAAAGCAAUGCAAUGACUUUCAUGCGGCGAUUUUUUUUCACUGUGUAUUCAAUUAGUAAAAUAUAUAUAUAUAUUCGUCGUAGAAAUCAAGAAUCUUAAAAUGCCAUAAAUGUACUACAAGUAUCACCUAUAGUCAAUCUGCAUUCAAUCCUCAACACUUCAAAACAUACAGAUAUUUUCACUUGGACCGAAUCUAUAUAUAAAUUAAAGAACUACAAAAAUGCGGUCCAUCGUCUCCAUUACUAUUCUGCAUUUCUGAAAUUCUUCAUUAGGACACCAGUACUGAAAAUGGAUACUAACGAUAUUCAAGGACAUUUUUAAAUUCUUCAUAAACAAGCAUUUAGACAUCUCAAGAUUUAAGUAAUAUUUUCAUAUUUCAUAGACCAUAGACGAAAUUAUGAAGAAACCUUUUGGCACUGUUAAUAAACCUCUUCCCAGCUCUUCUUACCUCUAAUCAGCUUCCCCUAGAAGUAACAUUCCUUAUCACCAGCAUCCAUCAUAACAUUCCGAACGUAAACGGGAACAUUCAGAACGUAAAUUUCAGAAUGAUGCAAGGACACUUUAAUCAUAACAAAUUAAAACCAUGCAGUGAUUUCUGACCUAUAAAAGGAUCCUUAGCUGGCUAGUUAUAAGAUUAUAAAUGGAAUUUUGGGUAAUUGCAGAAGUAUGGAGGUUUCAGAAUCGUCAUCCGAGUUAUUUGCUGUGAAAGUCGUAAUGAAAAUAAGAAUAAUGCCUUACUCAGCCGAUGCCAAGCUUAAAGUUUUUGUGUAUUCCAACAUCAAAGAUAUAUACAUAAGCAAAUCAUAAUUAAGCCUGCACUAAACAUAUGAUCUUACAGUGCUACAAAUGUAUUGAAUACUGCUACAACCAGCCUCGCCGCGGAUCACAUCAUCUAGUUGCAGUUAACCACUCCUCAAACUAAUCCUAAAACUUCUAACUUACAGAUCUAUGAUAAAUAUCUUACAGGGUUACAAAUCACAUCAUUCAUUUUAAUCUCUGAAAUCUAAUAUUUAAAAAUUCCAAGCAGAUCGGACCUCCAGUGCCAGAAUCGCAAUCCUAAUACUCUUUCCAUUCUACUGGUUCUACUUUUUAUUUGCUGCUCUUCAAGUCGAAAUAUUUUUUUCGUUGGGGUAGUAGUCUUUCCGGAUCGUUACUUUUUACACUGGCUGUAUUUAAUCAUUCUACGAUAUUUGUUUGCAGAUAAUGUGAAUCUUCCUAUUACUAUCUAGCGUAUUCUAAUGUACUUGAUUUACUCAAUAUCAAAUUUCAAGCAUUAUGAAUCAAACCAAAAGUUUUCUGGUCGAUGUAUAAUCAAUCGUAUUGCAAUCCAAAUUGAUCCCCGGUUAUAUUAAUUUUUUUCUGUACCUUCCUUUGUGCAUACCCGUUUAUUCUUUGCAUAGCUAGUUUUUGGCUGUGUUUAACUAAUUUUACCUUAGAAUUCUUAAAUAUUUUAUAAAAUCUUUGAUUUCAGAUCAACUUUGAAAAAUCACUCAGGGUACACACCUCCAUCGGGUUGGUGUUUUAAUGUUUUCCUUUUUUAUUAGGCCGUCGUUGCUCUUUUGCCGUGUACGGAUUAGCAAUUCAUACUUGCGGCCUACGGCUUCAACCAACGAAUUACGGUUUCCGACUGUAGCGAUAAAAAUAAGCCGUGGUACUAAGAAUAUUUAUGACGAAGCUUGUAGUGCUCCAGAGAAAACUCUAAGGCCCCCUUAAUAUUGAUCCCAGUGUGAGGUUAAGGAAUCCUCAGUCCAUCGGAGGUAUAAAGUUAAGCUGAAAGUCUGACGGCCGUAUCAGGGUCAGUUGUCGAAUUGGGAGCUUCCUAAAACUGAAGCUACUUAAGUGAUAUAACAUUCAAUAUGAAAGCCAAGGAGGAUACUUCAAGAAAGCCAAGGAGCUAUUGCAACCCCAGUCAGAUAUAAUUUGGAAUGGAUCGAAUGAACUCUCAAUUUGCUGCCAUGACUUGCUUGGGUCACUUAUAGUGAAGCAAUGCAAAUAAAUCGCAAUAUAAUCAUAUGGAAAAUAAAUGGCCUGUGGAAGGAGUCGGUCUGAUGUUGAGCAUUUUCUCAAAGCGGAAUACGUCGACAGGCUUCGCGCAUCGAAGUAUCUGCAUCAGCGGAUUCGAUGUCAUAACUGUUAGUCAUCCUUUCAGCACAGCUCAUUGCAGAUUGACAAUCAUUCCGAGCUCCCUGCGUAUCAGAAGCCCAGCGCGCUAAAAUAGCUUUGCCCCUAGGUUUAUUGUUGGGUUUCCCAAAUAAAUCGACUCACUCCACACGGCAGCCAGCACCAAUUCGGCGAAGAACAUAUUAUUCAGGCGCAAGUCAUCAUAUGGACCGUUGCCCCCGAUGAUAUUGCACUACGAAAAUUUGGACUAUGUUGCAUACGAUGGAAUCGAUCACCAAUGAAGGUCUAUCGCCAAAUAUGAUGGAGCUUGUCCUUAACAUCUCCCUUGGAAACAUGCAACCAAUCUUAACUCGCAGCGUCCGAUUUGCCUAGGCCUAGGCAAAGAGUCCGACCGGUCUGACCGACUUUGGCUAUGAUACACCUGGACAACCAUAGGGUGCUACAAAAAUGCUGUAUGCUUUUGAAGGGAAGUGCUGCACUGCAAACCUUUUUAAUGUUAUGCGAGUCUUCGACAGUCUGGCGCAGUUAUCUGCUCUAUUCUCUUAAAAUACAUUGCUAUAAAUAUAACCUUUAUGUGAAAUGCUGAGACGUUAGAUCUGAUGUACGGAAGCGUAUUAGGCCCAGGACUCUGGACGCUCCCAUCAAUGCAGGAACAUCUGGCCCCGGGAAAUCCAAUCAAACCAACACGUUAAGAGGACUCGAAGGAACUAUUUCUGGCAUCGACGGCCAAAUACUUGGCGCUUGGCAGAUGACUAACCUGUGCACCUGGCUUGUCGGAACAGGAUCUACCUUACGGCUGCGCGUCUACAAACCAUAAUGAUUACAGCAAUGCCAGCCAUUUCAAGUAACGUUUUUCUAUGAUUUAUAUGCCAAGACCCUAGGGUCUUAUACAUAAGAUAUAUCAAAUUAUAAAAUUGUACUUCUAAGAAUGUGGAACUUACAGUGUUACCCGAUUUAUCACGCUCCCAAUGGGCACAGGUAUAUGUCAUAUCCUUGAUCUUCAAAUUGUUAACGCGAGUGUUCAAAAUUUCUUGAUUUGAUGCGCCCUUAAGCGAGGGCGAGUUCAAAAUUUUUAAUCUCUAGCUUCAACAGCGGCAAAAUGGUUUGCAGGGAGGUCAUUGCACAAAACCAAUAUACCUUUAGGGAAUAUGAACAAUCGCAAUGAUUAUAAUUAUCGGUCGGUUAAUUUAUAUUCGAGUAAAAUAUGCGACUAAGAUGCAGCAGAGUAAUCUUGCCUUAAUGCGGACUUCCUAUUAGCUUCAACUUUUUCGUGUGUAUAGCGUUGAUUUAUGUUGAGAUCAUAGUACACACAUACAAUGGACCCAUCGUAACACAGUAUCAUAACUAAUCGAUAACACACCGAUAACACAAUCGCUGAACUGAUGGGAUCUAUAGACGACGAUGGCUCAAUCUAAUGGAUUUUUAUGAAAAUCUAGAUACAAUUUUUAAGUGAUAAGCUUCCAUCAGGUAAGGGUUUCGAUACUGUUUGACAGUACUAAUUUGUGGUUUUCGAAUGCGCACGCAAUGAGAUCAUCCCAUGGCAUACAACCCUGCUACUACAUAUUAUCAACGAGUAUAACAAAUGGGAGAUCAUGGGUAGAUUAUUAGGACGUUACGAAAACACGGAAGUGAACAUUGGCAUAUUUAUAACAAAGAUCAGAUGGAAAGUUCCUCGUUUGAAGCACAUUAGAAUAUCUAAUAUCCUAUGUAAUAUUCAAUCUGAAACAUCUGUUCUGCAAAUUCCGGACGGGUCUAAAUAAAGGGAACAAGUAAUCCGCCUGUUUGCUAACGAUAGCAUUGCAAACAUUCCUGACGUUUUAUAUCACAGUCGUAAACGAAUGUGUAAAUUUUCUUUAAGGUGCAUAUGGACAAUUGGACAUGGACAUCAACAUAAACAGGCGACUGUUUUUUGUCAUCAGGCCACAUUCGCGAAAAUUGCAAGAAAGACGUCACCUAUCCUCAUCACCGCCAAGGACAUUAUUGUAACAAACAUCCCUCACAAGACUUUACCUCAGCCAAAAACUAACAAGCCCAAUAAAACACUAGUUAACACUACAACUUUACUUACUGAAGAUGACACCAAAGACAUAAACUUGCAAAUAAACACCAAGAUACAAAUAAAAUAGUAACUAUUGGAAGAUUUAAAUAGUAGCAGCAGGAGCUUACAUCUGGCUUCUUCAGCGGACCUUAAUUCAUAACUGCAGAGGUCUGAAGCUCCGAGCACCCUCAUUGAGGCUGCUUGUGUUCGUGGGGCAAAGUGACGGCAUCCUCAUGAAAUAUAUUCUAACGAAGCUCCGUCUUACCCAUCUGAGAUGAGUCUAACCAAAAGCCGUGCACUUCGGAAAUACUCCAAUCAAUAUUAUAAUAUAGGGCAAACUUGAAGAACAGACCACCUACCAAAUUAAGCGAAUAAAACAAAUAUUUAGC